rnacentral:ncRNA from 1 species
UACCUGAGUGAUCCUGCCAGUCUUGUCUCAAAAAUUAAGCCAUGCCAGUCUUAGUACACUGCAGGUACAGUGAAACUGUAAAAUGGCUCAUUAAAUUAGUUAUGGUUCCUUUGAUUGCAACGUUACUUUGAUGACUGCAGAAAUCAUAGAGCUAAUACUUGCCAACGAAUGCUGACUUUCGAUGACGCAUGCAUUUAUUCACACCCAAAACCACGCGGGGUACUCUCGGCCACCACAUACGCUUUUGGUGACUAGAACCUUGACUGGGGAUGCACUGAUGUCUAAUUCGAAUGUCUGCCUUAUUAAUGGUACUUUCUGUGCAUACCAUGGUGACCACGGGUAAUUCGGAAUCAGGGUUAGAUGCCAGGGAGGGAGCCUAAGAAAUAGCUAACUAUCCAAAGAAGGCACCAGGCGCACAAGUUUCCCACUCCCAACUCAGGGAGGUAGUGAUGAAAAAUAACAAUACAGGACUCUUCCGAUGCCUUUCAUUUGGAAUGAGAACACUUUAAAUCCAUUAAUGAGGAUCCAUGACUGAUGUUUAGAGGUUGCAUUUUACAGCGGUUAAAAACUUCUGAAAAGUGUCAUUAAUUAUGUUUUAACCGUAAUAUUUGACUAACUGUUGUGUAUUGUCCAUCUUUUUGACUUAAUGUCCUUACGGGCCGGGUGACACCAAUAAAUAUAAGGAAAUAAAGGUGUCUUGAACAAAAUGUAAACAUAAUUGUUAAGCAUAAGACCAAGAAACAUCAUCAUAAUACUAAUUGCUUUUUAUCUAGGUUUUUGUCAAAUUACUGUGAAUCUUACUCAAAAUGUAAUGGUGAGACAUUUGGUUACUGGCAUUAUACAAGGAAAUUGUGUGUAUUUCAAUUGAAAUUCUAACAUACGAAUACUGAUUUAGA